AGAGUUGAUCCUGGCUCAGGACGAACGCUGGCGGCGUGCCUAACACAUGCAAGUCGAGCGGGGAUAUUCAAGAGGAGAGCUUCGGCAGGGAAUCGGGGGAUAUUUCAGCGGCGGACGGGUGAGUAACGCGUGAACAAUCUGUCCCAUACAGGGGGAUAACACUUGGAAACAGGUGCUAAUACCGCAUAAGACCACAGCGUCGCAUGGCGCGGGGGUCAAAGGAGAGAUCCGGUAAGGGGUGAGUUCGCGUCUGAUUAGCUAGUUGGUGAGGUAAGGGCCCACCAAGGCGACGAUCAGUAGCCGACCUGAGAGGGUGAUCGGCCACAUUGGAACUGAGACACGGUCCAAACUCCUACGGGAGGCAGCAGUGGGGAAUAUUGGACAAUGGGCGGAAGCCUGACCCAGCAACGCCGCGUGAGGGAAGAAGGUUUUCGGAUUGUAAACCUCUGUUGUGGAUGACGAAGGACGUGACGGUAAUCCACAAGGAAGCCCCGGCUAACUACGUGCC
rnacentral:rRNA from 1 species